UGGGGAAUUUUGGACAAUGGGGGCAACCCUGAUCCAGCCAUUCCGCGUGAGUGAAGAAGGCCUUCGGGUUGUAAAGCUCUUUCAGCUGGAACGAAACGGUGCGCUCUAACAUAGCGUGCUAAUGACGGUACCAGCAGAAGAAGCACCGGCUAACUACGUGCCAGCAGCUGCGGUAAUACGUAGGGUGCGAGCGUUAAUCGGAAUUACUGGGCGUAAAGCGUGCGCAGGCGGAUUGUUAAGCAAGACGUGAAAUCCCCGGGCUUAACCUGGGAAUGGCGUUUUGAACUGGCAGUCUAGAGUGCGUCAGAGGGGGGUGGAAUUCCACGUGUAGCAGUGAAAUGCGUAGAGAUGUGGAGGAACACCGAUGGCGAAGGCAGCCCCCUGGGAUGACACUGACGCUCAUGUACGAAAGCGUGGGUAGCAAACAGG
rnacentral:rRNA from 1 species